GGAAGCGCCCCGGACCGGUUACCUGGCCGAGGGUCCCGCGAUGCAAGGCCCGGAUCAUGCCACCCGGUGUCGCCAUGGAAAAGUUCCCUGCCUGAUGCAGAGGUUGGCCUUCAGACUGCCUCCCCACCUCGGCUGUGUCUCUCCCCUGGGGUCGCAGUUCCCUGUUAAAGCUCCAACGCCUCCCUGGCUCCCCACUCCAUUCUCUUCAGGGGCACUGACUCUUGCCCUGUGCUCUGGUGCUCUGGCCUUGCUGAAAAAUCCUUCCCAUCUCUGCCCAUCACAUUUAUCCUUCCUCAUCAAACUACCCAAGGUUAAUCCCUGCAGAAGCCUUCUGUCUGCCCUGAACUUACACCACUUGGUGCUGUACAUAAAGCCCCAUUUUACUUGCAGAGAUGUCACUUAAACAGCUCCCUUUAGCUUUAACCCAUCACACAGCAAUCCACCACCACUCCCCCAAUUCCAGUCUGCAUCUGUGCACAUAGUCCUUCCGCUGCACCAGAAAACAGAACCAAAACAAAUUAACACUGAAGUUAAGGUUUAACAUGUUCUCAAAGACUUUGUACCUCAACCUUUCCUGCCUGGUCUCUCAGGGAGGAUUCCCAGUUUCUACCCAGCCAUAAAUGCAACUCCCAGGGUGGGAAGCCACAGAAUAUUUGUUACUAAUUUUCAGGUGUUGUAAACUGGGGAUCAUUUGCCUGGUUGGAAGCAUCUGGGGCAGUGAGUAUGGGAAGCUAUUAUUGCAUUAUUUGUGGAAUCUGAAGCCAGUAGUCAGAAAAGAAGAUGCAGUUAUAGGUUUGUAUUAGUGAUAGUACACAGCAUAUUGGUGAUUCUUUCCAGUAGACAAGUCAGUGCUGAGCAAGAUUAAUUCAGACCCUAUCCCUGAGAACAUUAUCAUAAAAUGCUCCUAACUGUAAAAUCUUAACCUAAUUUUAAUAGUUAAAAACACUCAAAGUUUAUGAAAUUAUUUAAUUAUUUUCACUUUGAUGCAUUGGUUAAUAAUAAUUUUUACAUUUUAAAACUAUAUUUACAGUGCUUAGUACAUUGGAGCCUAAUCUACAUUUAGUUCUCUAGACUAUACUAUAAUACAAAUGGUAAAAAAAAUCUACUUUGCACAGUCAAUAACAGUUUUAACUUUAAGCCAAAAAUUGUGCACAUGAUUUUUUCCAACAUUUACAUCAUCACUAUAAAUACUGUUAUUGGCAUUGUUAAUAAUUUGGGCUGAAAACUUCCAUGCAUGGUGUCCAUCUUACGCUGAAAUUUUUAUCAAGUUUUAUGUUUCAGCAAAAAUGUGUCAGCCAUAUUUGAGAACAUAAUUAGGCAAAAAACAUGUGAGGCUGCUUGAAUUAUAGGCAAGAAGCUGAAAAAAGGGAAAGUCCACAUGAUGUAUUCUGAGAUUUUCCAGUCCUAAGACCAAGACAGGCAAAAAAUACUAAAUGUGAGCCUGUGGUUGCUCCACUAAUAUGAGACUGAAGAUGUACUUUGAGUGAAGCAUGGGGUGACAUUCCAGGUGGGGUCUACUUACUCAUUAGCCUGUAUCUCACAAUUAGAAUGGUUCUUGGUUGAAGACUAAUUGGAGCAGGUAGGGUUUUGUUAAACUAAGACAGUGAAGAAGGGAAGGCUGAAAAGGCAAAUGGAAUAUGAACUUAGUUUCAGAAAGUUAUAAAGAAAAUGAGAUAAUGUAGAAAGGAAAUACAAAGACAAUUUUUCAGUUGUGAAGAAUUUAAAAGCAAAUUCUUUUCCAGUAUGUAAUUACAAGGAGAAAUCUUCAAAGCAUCUACUAAGUACAAAUAUUUUAAUGUUAAUAUAAAUCAGUAAGUCAGACAUUGGUUUCAGGCAAAAUGAUGAGGAGAAAAGCUAUGUGUGAUUCAGGGAUAAAAGACUAAAGAAUGAAGGUAUAGGUAAUACUACUUAAAAAGAAUGGGGGAAAUAGUUUUCUCAAAGAAACCUAAGUUUAAUUUUUGAGGUUAUUAGAAUUUGCAUUAAGAAAUAUAACAGUAUAAAGGCUUAGAUUUUUGUAACAUCUUUGGCUCAGUACCAUAGAGAAUUCUAAGUAAACAUACAGAAAAGCAUAUAGUAAAUGGACUAAGGGCUGACUAGCUGGCAGUUCUCCAAAAGUAUUUGUCAAAUUUGAACUGGGAGACUUUUCAGCAGAGUUCUACAGUAAUUUGUGCUUGGCCCUACUCAGUACUGUUACCAGUAAUUUGGAAAUAGAUAUUUAAUGAUUUAUAUUUAAAUAUGCCCUUGACACAAAUAUUGACAGAGUUGUAAAUAACAUCAAAAACAUGGCGAGCACUCAGACCACUCCGAUAAUCAGUCUCUUAAAACAAAGUCUGUUUUAAAAUUAAACUGAAAAUGAACUAGAAGCUUGAGUUCAAGUUGUUAUUUUUCUCUUCAACCAGCACUGAGCCUGAAUUAUUACUUUGAAGUCUUUCUUGAAUCCAAACUCAAGCUGAACAAAAAUUUGCACUUACUAGUUUACAAUAACUCCUAAAAACACUCUGCCCACUACUGUAACAUAAAUCUAGCAGGGGCAGAAGAAUAAGCAGGGAAUGUUCUUGGUGCAGGAAAGGAGGGAUAGUGAUGUGAAUGUGAGGAGGAGGACAACAGGAAUAGGCUGGCUUGAGAAUCCCAGAAAAGACAAGAGGGUGACAUCCUGAGAGAAGUCCAAGUUAGGAGAGGCAAAAGAUUUCCUGCUCAUACUGCUCAUAUGCACUGGUCUCAGAUCUCCCGUGGCUGCCAAAAAUCUUCUGGCCUUUAUAAUGAUAAUUGUUCCUGGACACUUUUCCCCUACCCACGUUACCCCAAACUCAAUGUGAAUCCAUUCAAAACUGUUUAUAUGUGCAGAAUCUGUUAUUGAACCCAAAUUAGGAAAAUACCAGUAACAGCUGAAUACGAAUGAGGACUCAGGCAAUGUAUGACUAGUUCAGUUCUCUGGGUUUAAUGCAGCCAAAUUCAAAGUUGUUGGUUUAGAAACAAGAGUUCUAGACCAUAUCUACCAGGCAAGUGGCUAUCUCCUAGGUAGCAAUGAUUUUGCAAAAGAUUUAGAAUUUGUGUUGGAUAACUCUAUUUCAACUCAAGCAACUAUUUCCUAGUGCAAUCCUGUGGCUGAAGUGGUGAAUUAAGUGGUUUUUGAGUCCCCUCUGGGGCACUGGGAUACCAGUCAGCAAAUACUGAGUUGACUUUGGGUGUCCAUGUUUAGGAAAGGAUACUGAAAAAUCAAGGAAAGAAGCUGCAGAAAAUAGUCAUUAAUGAUUUAAGCAUUACAUAUUAUUUAUAUAUAUAUAUAUAUGUAAAAUAUAAGCAUAUAUUCCAAUAAGUGAUUUGUUAAAAUGCAUGAUAGUGCUAGGAGCAGAACCCAGAAUUUGGGAUUCCUUUAUCCAGGUAGAGGGACCUCCAUUACUGGGCUACAGUCCACAAAACUUACGUUCUCAUAAAGCCUUUAGCAGGCAGUGCUUUACACGGGUCCCAACCUUAGUUAAUCUACAGCAUGAACAGGGUGCUUGGAAUUAGUCAGGGAUGUGUAAUGGGUUAUCGUCCACAGUCUCCUGUGCCUUACUUCUUGUAGAAAUUAGGAGCUGUUUGGUGGCUGUGGCAGCAGAUUGUAAAAAGAAAGAAUGGUUAAAGAGGCUGAACAGAUUUUGAAAACGUGGUUUAUUACUUGCACUGUCACAAAGUUCUUGUGUGAUGCUAGUCUAACCAUAUGUACUAAAACAGUUUGUAUUCCUAAUCUGAGAAAUUAGAGCAGAUUUCGAGAAAUUCCAUGUACUCCCAGAUAAAAGCUCAAUCUUUGCUAUUGUGCUUCUAACAUACUGUAUGCUAAACAUAUAAAAUAGCUUGAAAAAUUAGGACCUAUGUCUAUCAAGUUGAGCACAUAAAAUUAAUGAGUGUUUUAUGUUUUAUGCUUAAUCUCUUUGUGCUUUAGCUUCCAUCUUUAAAAUAUAGUAAUAGCUAUCCAAGUCAACAUUGUCAAAAUAAUUUCACUAAUAGUCAUGAAUUAUUCAGAUGAUCUGAUAAAAGUUAACAAACAUACAGAAGGAAAUUAGUAAUUUUCUGUUCAGCAGAGGGUUUAUGAUAGAAAAAUUGUAUGGUAAGGAAGUUUUAGGACACCACUUUGAAUAGAAAAUAUUUUUUUAAAUGAACAGUGAAGCAAGACCCUUUGGAAAAAAUAGUACGCAAUCUUAUAAUCAGAGAUAGUAUCAUAAUAUAUGCAAAGAAGAGAGGGAAAUGAACUAAAAUUGCAUCACAAACUUGAUGCUGUCACUUCUCAAUUUCUGAGUGUUUGAUCUUGCUCUUUCAAUGUAGCUUGGAGGAGGGAUAAUUAUUAUUACAAUUGUUUUUGUUGUUUGCUACAGUAUUGCUCAGGUACAGUCUGAAAUGGGGUCCCUUUGUGCCAGGCGUUCAAACACACACAAGGAGACAGCCCCUGCUCCAAAUAGCUUAUAGGCUAAAUAGACAAAAUGGACACAGAUUAAAGAGUGUAUUUAUACACAGCAUGAUAAAUGUGUUGGCAGAAAUUGCUGUGUAAAUAUUGUUAUUCCCAUUCUUUUUUAAAUAAAGGGAGUCAUUAGAAAGAGACUAGCUGAAUGAAAAAGCAAGAGAAAGGGAAAAAUAAUUCAGAAAAAGAAUUUAGGCAAACUAGAAAACACAGAGAGAGGAGACAAGAUAGGAUGGAAUCUGAAGAAUACAGAGUAAGAGGAGAAGUUGGAAAAGUCCACCCAAAAGCAUAGAAAAGAGUCCAGUCAAACCCUUCACAUUCCCACAGAAAAAGAACAUCAUUUGAGACAUAUAUGUUGGCACAGUUUAAAAGUGCAUCUUUGACAUCUUGGAGGGCCUGCAGGUUAGCAAGACUGGCUGAAGAGGAUGAAUCAAUUACUCUUUACCUGUUUCAUUUUACAUUUUACACAUGCUGUGGAAGAAUCUGACCAUUUUAAUACCUCUGUCUGUUCAGAGAAGCUUUGGCAGCAUAGUCAUUUGAAAGCUCUGAGGAUCUGGCAGAGAGAAUGAAGAAGUGUUGUGUUUUGCAUGCUUAAACUGUAGAUAGGAUCAUAGUGUUGCGGAGAACCGUAUACUGCGAAUUCCAUGGAAAAACACUAUGCAGGUAGCCAAUCAGAAGUAAAAACACCUAGAAUCUUCUAAAGUCUGUAAACCUUUUCUCCCUAUAAUGUCAGGAAAAAGAAAUCUGGCCUACAUGCUCUUUUGUAUUAUCAUCAGUUAUGGUGACUGUGUUCUUUAUAUUCAUUUUGAAUCUGUGUUUCCUGUCAUGAGCAGAUUAAAAACAGAAGAGAGCAGAGUGAAAGUUUUCUAUUGCAAACAUCUGUGUCUGAGAAAGGAUUGUAUUUCCAUGUCCUGGAACAUCAAGGGGAAAAGCUUGCCCUCCCCAGACACACACCUUUAGUUUUCAGCAAUAAGGAGUUUAUAGACAAGGUUGGCUUACUACAGUAAAUAGAAAACCUAAAUCUACUAUUAUUUCCGGUGGUUAAUCCUGCCUGGAUGUCUGAGGAGACCUUCAGUCAUUCUUCCCAGCAGAGACGUAUCUUAUUCUAUAUCCAUACAAUGUUUAACAUAUUUUUAGGUGUUAAAUAAGCAAUGCUUUGAAUCACUUAUGUCUUCUGUAUCUCAAAUUCAGUUUUAUAUGCAAAAAUUGCUGUUUAGAUAAUGUUCUUAAGGACUGUUAAUAGAAAUGGAGAAUGGAGAUAUACAUCAUCUAUAAAUUAAAUGAAAUCCACAAGCAGAAAAAAGAUGGUUAUGUUAACAGACUUAAUGAAGAAAAAAUUAGUGCUGAUGUGUCAUCCAUGUCCAUCUGCUUUUAAAGAACGCAAGACUGGAAAAGGUAGAAAAGAUGUUUUAAGAACGACUGGAGGCCAGAUAUACAGUACUUUCUCAUAUUAUCUGAUAUCCUUAUAGGAAUUUAGCCCUGCAAAGGAGAAAAUGUAUUGGUUUAGAUGCUGCCCCCAGACCUUCGUAUCUUCCACAUAAGCUCCCUCCUUUUAAAAGUACUUCUAGGUACUAAUGUGCAUUCAGUUCAAAUACCAUCCAAAAUAUAUUUCACUAGAUUCACGAAUUCCUUCAAACUGUGAUACCCCCGUGUAAGCCAACCUGGACAAAUCUGGGAAAUAAUGUAAGAAAAUCAUCCUCUGGGCUAGUUCUCCAGUCAUAAUCUUCAUGGGCACUGAAGAGGCUUUUGUUGUAUGCAACAGUAAUUCUUCAUUUCUGAGAGGGAAGCACCUCUUCAAAUAAUAGUCUAUGGACUAGUUUUUUACUUUGGGUAACGUUACUAGCAAGGAUGGUCUUAUCUCUGCAUGUCAUUUCCUCGUAUACAUAAUCUCCUUCAGAUAUUCCCAACUGAUAGUGGUAUUUCCACAUCCGUGAACAUAUUAAAGGCUCUUGAGAUUGCAAAUUCACAUCUAAAUCAGGGGUCAUUAGGUACCAGCCACUUUUGAAAAUUAAUUGAUGUAAAACCCAUCAUGUAUUUUUAUAAAUUAAAAAAAUAUGCCCUAGUUCCAGUCUGAAUUGGUCUACUUUCACUUUCCAGUUUCAGAUUUUAUAACCUCUUUGCCUGUUAAGCUAAAAAUCUUUAUACUUUGAGAAAAUUCUGCUUUUAAUGAAAGUAUAUUUUAAUUUUUUCUUAAACAAACUGCAUAGACUGAGUUUUUCAAAACUGUCAUAAAACAGGCUUUACAUACUUUAAGUUACAAUUGUAGCUCCUGUCUUAAUCUUUUCAGAUUUUCAACCUUUUGUAUUCAGGGUAAGCACCAAAAUGUGCCGGAGUCCUACAGUCUGCUUCUACUCAACUAUCUGUAAAAAAAUGUAGAAGUGUCACUAAGAACAUUUGCAGGUGAUGUACAGAUUGCUAGAAUAAUAUAUAUAAGCUUAUAUAUCUGAGAAUAUUGUUAGCUACUGCAUCACUGAGAAUUCAUGUUCUUUUUGCAUGAUCAGAGAUUUCUAUAUUCCCCCAACCUGUAAGCGUGACUUAUAUUUUUUUGUUUCCAGGUGUGUCACCUUUCAUUUAUUUGUGUUCAAACAUGUUGCUUGAAUGAGUUCCCCUUCCUUCCAAACAAUCUUGGUGUGUAUAACUGGCUGUUCCUCAAUUUUAUCAUCCUACUAAAUUGUGCAUCAUCUGCAAACUUUACUAGCAUGCUUUCAUAUUUUCUUCCAGCUGGUUAAUAAAAAUACUAAUUACUAAGCUGAGAUCAGAGGCUUCAAACCUGUUCAGCUGGUAAUGAUUCAACAGUCAAUUGCUUUUCUUACUCCAUUUAAUGUACAGCUUAAUAUACACUCCACUGAUUUUCGGAUGUUAGUUUUAAAAAUCAGACUGUCAUGAAGCACCAAAUUAAAUACUUUACAAAAACGCAGAUACAGCACAGCCAGCAGUAUUUCUAGAUACCCAAAAGACUAAAGUAUAUAAAGUAAAAUGUAGAGAUGUUAUAACUAUCUAUAAGAAAACAAUCAAACAUAUUAAUGUAAAAUUAAAUAAAAUCCCCAGAUAAGGAUUUUCAAUGUUAUUUUUUUUAUUUUACCUUUCAUAUACAUAUUCAUGACUCUGUUCCAGCUAUUGUAUUCCCAUCUGGGGAACAUGGUACACCUAUGGUUUAGGGGAUACUUCAACUGGAUUUGCAGCUGCUUUGUUUCACCAGCGCAAUGAAAAGUUGCUGAAAUAGAUUCUACACCCUUUGCUUUCUGUGCUCCAAAUUCCUGCUGAUUUGCCACCUCCCACCAUUUAUUUUUCUUGGGAUAGACAAUCAAGGGGAGACAUUAUCCCCUUGUUUGUAUUCCCUUAGCCUGUUGCCUGUCCUUUCAUUCUCCUGUGUGUGGCUUCUACCUCAGUGCUCCUUUCUACACUUAACUUUAUCCUGUGAAUAUACCAAAUUCCCCAGGCUCAUGCAGUCCAGCUCCCCUCGUAUGCCAGGCUGGCACUUAAUACAGAUGAAGUAAUUAGUUGCCUAGAGCAGCAGAUUGGUGGGGGUAAUGGCAAAAUUCCCAUACUUAUGCUACCUGCUUGUCUUAUGGCACAGACUCAGGCAGCCAGGCCGAGUGCUGCUCGGGAGGAAGGCAGAAGACUGCAUGGGUGCCAGCUCUCGCUGGGCAAGAGGGCAGUAGUGCCAGGCAACGUCAGCCCCUACUUCUGGCCUCUUGGUGGUACUGGGAGCAGCAGCUUAACUCCUCACCUCUCUGUCUCAGCUCUUCUCCUUUUCUUCAUCCCAUGGCAGAAGUGGCCCUGUCCCUUCUCGUUUGGGCAGCAAAAUAAUCUUGCCCGCAUCACUGACAAGCCUGGAGCCAGCCCUCUGCACGUGCCCACUUUCCUCUCCAUCUUUCCUCAAAGGAGGGAGCUCCUUUGUUCCCUUUCAGUGCAGAAAACAAGCUUUCUGGUUCCCACCUCCCUCUUAGCUUGAUUGUUAAGAGGAUCUGGCACAAUAGGUGCUUUCCUCACAGAUGCUUAGUAUGAAUGGCCAUAUUUGCUGUUAUUUUUUGUAACUAAAAGUUGCUUUGUCUUUGGUUUUUCUUUUUCCAUGUAGAAUUCUUCCUUUUAGACUGGCCACCAUCACCCAUUGUUCUCAAUGAAACCGAAACUGCAGUUGCCUGGGGCGGGGGCGGGGGAGAGGGGACACAACACGGUGAUUGCCUGUAGUGUGAGGAAUCGUAAAACACAGAUCUGCUUGGAACAAUGAAGAAAAGCCGUCUCGGAAUGGCCACCAACCGAGGCCUGCUGUGGCGCUUGGCUGUGGAGAGCCCUGGAAGAUGGCAGCCAUGGUGAAAGACAGCAGUAGUCCAUGGCCCAGCCUUCAGGCUCUGCCUGAGGGAAAAACGUAGGCACACACUACAGAAAAAAACAUUAGUUAAUUGCAAGAAGUGAGUGAAAUAAGGUCUUUAUGCAAAAUUGCAAUGAGCGUCACUUACAUGGGAGCUAGCAAUGGUUUUAGCCCAUGUUGUAGGGGAAGGUUGGAGUACUUUUUGCUGCUCUCUGCCAUUAAUGCUUUAACUCCCCCUUCAAUACUAAAAGAACGAAAUUCCUAUUUGACAGUUUUAAUAGGAAGCAGUUUUUGCCAGAGAAUAAUAAGUGUUUCAUCUCUGAAAAUGUGAUAUUUUUCCACCCUCCCUUUUCAUUGGGCGGCCUCCUGCCUCAUAUACUCUUGGGUAGUUGGAUUCUGUAUUCUGUUACAAGAUAGAAGACAAAAAGAGGUCUAAUAAUGGGUGGUCCACUUUUUAAGUCCCUUAUGUUUUUAUUAAUUUUAAUUCCUAAUCAAGUGGAUGUAUUCAAAUGCAACUUUGAAAUAUCCAGAAUUUUUUUUUGUAAUCAAACUAUACAUACUGUACUAUGAAGGAGAAUACACUGUAUUUUUAAAAGAUGGAAAAGAAUAAGCAAUAAAGCAUGACUAACUUUGUAAA